UGUGUGCUUAUGUAGCCUACUGUAAAUGUUAUGAAACCGACAGUUUGGAAAGGAAUAAACGCUGUUUCGUCUGUCUAAGCGUGUGUCCGACAGAAACAUCUCUGGCUGACGACACAUUUACAAGAACAAAGAACACUCAUGGUCUGACUCCUGAUAAAAGCCAGCGUCUAUGUAGUGAGGAAGAUCCGGGCGUCCCUCACUGAGGGGGGGCAGUUGGAGAAGCCCAUCUUCACACCAUGUAGGGCUGGAGAGAAGAAAGAACUGAACGUGUCCAAAGCUGACCCACUGCCGGCCAUGUUGACCCCUGACCCUGGCGAUGAUGUGGUCGGGGGGGGGGUCGUCUCCGGAGACAGCCCUGCAGAAGUGUAACUCCUGAGGUUAAAGGUCACACUGGAUAACUUGGCUGGGACAUGUUUCUUCUAAGUACAAAUUACACACACACACACAGAGAAAGAGAGAGAGAAAAUAUCCAAACUGGUUUUCCUUUUAAUUUAUCUGUGAAAUAAAUGUUACCAGUUAUGCUUGUAUAAUUACAUGAACACACUGAAUGUAUUUAUAUGGCUUCACGUUCUCAUGUGAAAGUGGCAGUUAUGAAGAGCAUCUGUUAAAACGUAUGGAUUGUGUAAAUUAGAUAUUGUAUUGUUUCUGUCUUUCCCCUGUCCCAGCCCAUGUCCACUGUGACCUUGGCUUUGAACAAUACAUGAUUUAUUCUAGCUAUAGUGUGUGAUGGUCUGUUCACAAACCCCUCAGUCCAGGGGCUGAAUAGACCUGAUGUUUGCUGCAGCUAGAUGUUAAAUCAAUAAAAUUACAAUUAAAAACAUAAA